UUUUGUGUGAAUGAAGUGUUCGAAAAUCGAGAAGGUAUCGAUAAAAGAUGAAUACGGAGAGACAAGAGUUCAAGCUUGGGGAUGAGCUAUAUAUCUAAACUGACUAGAAUGACUGUUCGAAGAUCGAGGAGGUAUCGAUAAAA